rnacentral:rRNA from 1 species
ACAGAGGGUGCAAGCGUUAAUCGGAAUUACUGGGCGUAAAGCGCGCGUAGGUGGUUCGUUAAGUUGGAUGUGAAAUCCCCGGGCUCAACCUGGGAACUGCAUUCAAAACUGACGAGCUAGAGUAUGGUAGAGGGUGGUGGAAUUUCCUGUGUAGCGGUGAAAUGCGUAGAUAUAGGAAGGAACACCAGUGGCGAAGGCGACCACCUGGACUGAUACUGACACUGAGGUGCGAAGGCGUGGGGAGCAAACAGG